GUGCUUGCUUCGGCAGCACAUAUACUAAAAUUGGAACUGAGCAGAGAAGAUUAGCCCCUGCGCAAGGAUGACACACAAAUUCGUGAAGCGUUCCAUAUUUUU
ensembl:snRNA U6 spliceosomal RNA